UCCGAUCCAUCCCUACGCACUUGAUGGAUGCCAUUACAUAUUUAUUAAUUUUCGAUCGUCAUUGUUGAAGAAGAUGCGCACAAGACCGCCCGUCCGGAUUGGUAAAAAUUAAUUAAGCACAGUAGGCAUAUAUAUAGCUAGUAGUAAUUAGAAAAAUUAACAAAUGCCUAGCUACACACACACAAGCCUGAAAUCUCUCAUCCCAUCUCAUGUAGUGCAUGUGCCGCCUGCCCAUAAACCUAACUAGCUAGCUAAUGGAUUCCAUCUCACCAGCCUUCAGUUAGGUAAAAAAACAAAAGAGAGGGGCUUGCACAUGCACAUGAAAUAU
rnacentral:lncRNA from 1 species